AAGCUACAAAAGGCAAAGGGCAGCCCCUCAGAAAAACCCACUGUUAAAGGAAGACCUCGUGCGUCUGGACUGACCUGACAGAGGGCGCCAUGGAGAGAAAAGCGGGCCAGAGCUGGAGCCCAUUAAUACUGCCCGCCCCCGUCAGGUGACUAAAGGGCAGGCUCCAUGCUCCUCAGCUGCCUGGAUUAAUGUCAGGGCCACCUGCAGCAAGUGAACGUCCUUGGGAAGGUCUUCUCGAAUGUGCCCCUGUCACCUCCCACGGGCCUAUGAAAACCCACGCUGUCAUAAGAACCAAGAAAUUCAAAUCGUGUCCCCUAAGGACACGGGGAACUGCCGGAGCCUUGAAUUAUUCGUAUCUAGCAAUCCAGCAUAUGUGCUUUCUGUCAUCCCGAUACCCUGGAGGGGUGCACCAGACCCAGCAGCCGGGCUGGCACAGAACCCGGUGCUCCAGAAGCCCAAACAAGCAUUUAGUCGUUGGAGCAACAGUGGUCUCACAGGUUUCCUGGAGAUGCUCGCCCACUCCACCCCCAAGACAGAGGCUGACCUGGAAUUCAUCAUGCCCAGCUACUAGAGAUCUUCAGCCACUGAGCACAUCCAGGUGAACAAAGCCCCUACUGUGCGCACUGUCCUUACAGAGCUUGUGGCCACAGUCCUCCUACAUGUGGACUUUACUGCUUCACUGAGAUGAUCUUCCCUGGAAAGGGACAAGCUACUCCUGAACUAGAAGAGGAGAAAAAGGUUUUGAGUUUGGGGCCUUCCAAGGUCUAUGGAUAGGGGACUUUCUAUAAUCUGUGGACCAGAACAAAGUUAUAAGAGAGUUCCAGCACCAGGACUCACGAGACACACUGCUCAUUUGUGCAAGUCUUAGCAGAAGGAAGGAUGUUCGGCUCUCAGUCCUUCAUGUUCUCUUGAACAUCAUCUUUUUAAUAGGGUUACUUAUGUUGGUUUAUACAUUCUGUGUGGGAACUCGCAUAAGUGCCUAUCUCAAAGCAUUGCUGUGAGUGUUUGUGGAUUGAUCUUCUAGCGCUCUCCAGUCACCCCAUUUAUUAUACCACAGAUCAAAUGUAUUUGAAUAAAACUUGUAUCUGCAAUGAACGUGUGCUGACUUUCUUUCUUUUUU
rnacentral:sRNA from 1 species